AUGUGUGGCGGCGCGAUCAUCUCCGACUUCACCCCGGAGCGCGACCACCGCGGCGGCAGCAAGCGCAGCCUCUGCACCGCCGACUUCUGGCCGCAUGCCGCCGCCGCGUUCGACGACCCUACCGGCCACCACGACUUCUACCCAGCCGACCUGACCGGCGCCUGCUCGUUCCCUCCCCAGCACCAAGCAGCUGCGGCAGGGGAGGAGCCGAGCAGGAAGCGGGAGCGCAAGACGAUGUACCGCGGCAUCCGGCGGCGGCCCUGGGGCAAGUGGGCGGCGGAGAUCCGCGACCCGGCCAAGGGCGCGCGCGUCUGGCUCGGCACCUUCGCCACCGCCGAGGGCGCCGCCCGCGCCUACGACCGCGCCGCCCGCCGCAUCCGCGGGACCAAGGCCAAGGUCAACUUCCCCAACGAGGACCCGCCGCUCGACCUGGACGACUACGACGUCGCCAACGUCGCCGGCUUCUUCCACCAGCCGUCGUACAUGGCCGAUGCCGCCGCGCCGGCGACGGAGGUGGCGUACGCGCACCAGCUGCCCCAGCAGGACGAGCCCGGGAUGGAGCUCUGGAACUUUGACAACAUCAACACGCAAGUGAUAUAG
rnacentral:rRNA from 1 species